GUGCUUACUUCAGCAGCACAUAUAUAAAAAUGAAAUGGAAUGAUACAGAGAAGAUUAGCAUGGUCCCUGCUCAAGGAUAACAUGCAAAUUCAUGAAGAAUUCCAUAUUUUU
rnacentral:snRNA from 1 species